rnacentral:rRNA from 1 species
CUUCGGGGUUAGUGGCGCACGGGUGCGUAACGCGUGGGAACCUGCCUUUAGGUUCGGAAUAACUCAGAGAAAUUUGAGCUAAUACCGGAUAAUGUCUUCGGACCAAAGAUUUAUCGCCUUUAGAUGGGCCCGCGUUAGAUUAGAUAGUUGGUGGGGUAAUGGCCUACCAAGUCGACGAUCUAUAGCUGGUCUGAGAGGAUGAUCAGCCACACUGGGACUGAGACACGGCCCAG